rnacentral:lncRNA from 1 species
AGGAUGGCAACCGGCUUGUUCUGCGAUCAGUUCUCCGUCUGGAUGGCUCUGUGCAACGUGACUCCUGGUGGCUUCAAAGCCUCCUUUGUUUACAAAAGGAUGAUGAUGUGGGGUGUCCAGGGAGACAGACUGGAAGAGAACAAAGUGAGACAUGUUUUACUGAAGACGCUAACCAGAGUCAAGACACUCUCACAAACAAAAGCCUGCGAUGAAUUUCGUGGAUGGCUGUUCCGUCAGUGAGAGGCAGCUUGAAAAACACAGUGCGAAAAAUGCCCAAGGCAUGGCCAUCCUUGGCCUUCCACCACCCGGAAGAGAUUGUAGGGAGAGUCCUGCUGGCAGGGGUGGCUCCCACCAGUAAGCUGUCGCCUCAAGGAGCAGGCGGUGAAGGAGAGGGGCAUGGCUCCCACAUCCUUAUUAGCAAUCUUCCGUGUGUGGCAUCUAGCACUGAAGAAGGAGCUGGAUCCCAGCUCUCGGCUGAGUCACACUCAAAGUCACGCGCCAGCUUGCUGCUCUCAGACACGGCGUUGCGGGACAGGCAUGGCGCUCUGCCGUCAGAACGGACUGAUCUCUUUCAGAAGUUGUUCUGUUUUUGUACCGAAAUAUUUUCUCUGUCCUCAGAAUUCCUCUUGUGGGGAGGAGUCACGUUGUCCUCUACACAGGAAAUCCAGCAUGUGGGCUGAAGAGCUUCAGGGCACUGACUACACAGCAACACGCCAGAGUUGGGUCGGGGUCUCCAUUGACUUUUGGUGGCUAACAGGUUCUUUCCUUAAGCUCUUCAGCAUCUAGCAGAAUUGCUUCAAUGCUUUUGUUGGAGGAGGAAAAUGGAGUUUGUGACCCACAAGAGGCAGCGCGAAGCUAAACUUGCAGAGGAGGGGGAAUUCCGUGACCUUGGCGUGGAGUCAGGCCCAGGGAGUGGAAUGUAAAUCUUUUCUGAUUCACAUCAUUUUGUGAUGUGGGUUCUCUGAGAUUCUGGGAGCCUGGGUUCCUUUAAAUCCAUCUAUUUAACUAGUUCUACAGGGAGAAAACUCCAGAAGGAUUAGAGGCUGUAAAGAAAGUCAAAAUUAUAGACAAACUGAAUUGUAGGCUUAAGGUAACUGGAGUAAGGGCCUGAUGACCCAAGUGGAAGUUCUGAGUCUGUCAUUCAUAGCUCAGAGACCCCUGAAAAAAAUCACCAUUACUUUCUGAGCCUUAGAUUUACCUGAAAAAAAAAAGAGAUCAUUGUAGCUGUCUCCUCCACCAGCUCCCCACCCCUCUCACAGUUGUUAGGAUGGGCAUGAAAGUUUCCUGCAAAUUAUAAAGCACGCUGCUUCCAGGACUGGACACAUCUUGCUCGUGUAUGUGCAUGAGAAUAUGUGAAAGUGAAUACCAGGUGAGCAUUUUGCUCAUGUGCGGGUUUGAGAUUUCCAUUUUAAUUUUCCCUUUUGUUUGCUCAUGGGGUAAUUGGAUGUAAGCGUGUCGGGGAAGGGACAUUGUGCUGUUCAUGGCAGGGUGGACGUAUCAGCCGAUCUUCACUCCCUGUGGACUGGAAACCUGCAGCUGCAGAAAUUAUGCCUCAGUCGGCUUUGUCCUGACAUGGGCAUCAUGUUAUAGUCCUCGGAGAGAGACAGGUGGGCCUGUGACAAGGCCUCCAAAGUAAAGGCCUGCUUCAAAAGCAGAAUGUGAAGGAGACACGUGGGGACCCAGCAUUGCUUUUCUAUUCCUAGAAGUCCUGUGAUGGUCUAAAAUAUUUUCUUUCCCAUCUCCCUGGCCUGCCAAAGCAUUAUCUGAUCUUGAAAAAAUCUUUUAACCUAAGAACUAUUUUAAUGUUUUGUUUUGACUUGUUUUUGGAUGAGAUUCUUAGGGAGAAAGAAAUCUUUAGUUUUUCCUUUAUUUUCUUUUUAAAAUAGGCAUUUUUCAUGAAAAUCCUCUUGAAUUAAAGGGACAGUCUCUACAUAGGAAACGAUCAUUGUGCUGUGCAGUGGUAAUUGUCUUACUGGUCACAGUCUUGUAUGCAAAAAAAAAAUUAUUCUCCAUUCCACUGCAAGGAAGCCGUUGGAGUCCAACACCGCAGUAGUGGGCCAAGUGUACUCAGUACGGCUUUCAGGCGCAACGGACAGUUAAAGCGUUGAAUGACCCUCCCACCAGCACGGCCCUAAAGUCACAUUGCUAACCCCGGAAGCUAUAGCAGUUGAAAUUAAACAGCAGGCCCAAAGUGAAGACAACCUAUUGUUUCCACGGAAAAAGUGCCCUUAACUUUUCUUGUGAAGUUUAAGACCAGAGAAGACAGACAUGUUUCCCAAAAACAGCAUUUUUAAGACAGAGAGAGAGAAAGAGAGACUUAAGAGGACCUGAAUUUUGUGACAAUUAGUAGUAAGAGUAUAAAUUUCCACUUUUAUAUGGUACCUUUUAUCCAGAGAACUCAAUGAACCAUAAAUAUUAAGCUCUCACCAAUUUCUUAGUCCUUAUGUCUUUGAAUUCACUUUAUUCGUAGCCUCCGCGCAGUUUCCUAUCAGCUUUUGGAUCUCGAUGGAGGUGGUGGUGGUGAGGGCACUGUGUUGCUCUUGGACCUGUUUAUUAGUUGAGAUGGAACCCAGGUUCAAAGGAUCCUCUCUCUGCAGGUCACACUGAGUAUUUUGUGGAACAAAGACUAGAUCUGUUCGCAACAACCUCUACUUUUGUUGAUCUAAACUCUUGAUGGUCUUUUUCGAAAGGAUAUUUCUGUCUGGUAAUAAAUUGCUUGAGCCAGUC